UUGCAGUUAAAAAGCUCGUAGUUGGAUUUCUGGGAGGGUGCCAUUGUCCGCCAAAGCGCGUGUGCAGCGGCGCCCUUCCAUCCUUCUGUUAACGCCUCUUGGCAUUCAUUUGCUGGUGGCGGGCUCAGAUAUUUUACCUUGAGAAAAUUAGAGUGUUUCAGGCAGGCUAGGCCGGAAUACAUUAGCAUGGAAUAAUGGAAUAGGACUAUGGUCUCUUUGUUGGUUUGAGGGACUGCAGUAAUGAUUAAUAGGGAUAGUUGGGGGCAUUAGUAUUUAAUUGUCAGAGGUGGAAUUCUCAGAUUUGUUAAAGACUAACUUAUGCGAAAGCAUUUGCCAAGGAUGUUUUCAUUAAUCAAGAACGAAAGUUAGGGGAUCAAAGACGAUCA
rnacentral:rRNA from 1 species